CUAUGAAAAAACACUGGUAGUAAUCUCAUGGCUCUUGGCUUGAAGAGUAAGAGCAGGGCAGUGUCUGGCCCACUUCAACCUCCAUCUCUAAAUUGAGAUUUAAGGAUAGAAUAAGCUGGAGGAGGGAUGAACACUGUGUAAUGAUGAUAAAAGUUGGGCAAUGCAGAUUUGAGGUUCAUGCAAAGAACAGAACGCUCUCUUCACGCGUGGCUGUUCCAGUAACUACUUUCAUUAUGUUAUGACAAAAACGUAUGUGCAAAACUAAUGAUAUAUGCUGCUAAUAUUAGCUACAACAGUCUCUCUCCAUUUUCCUUUCCACUCUUCAACUGGAUAAAUGCUCAGUUAGUGGGAUUUUUGCUUGACUCAGGAAUAGUAAAGAGCAAGUGAGAUUUAUCACGUAGCUGAAGGUGUACUUCAUUUGCAUUCUAUUAACUGUACUGUCUGAUUAAAAGUCAGUUUGGGGAGCAUGUGUCAGAGAGAACAUGAUAUGCAUGAGGAAGUGGGUUGCUGUAGAAACUCUAACUCUGCAGCUAUAUCUCCACCAAAGGCAUGCUGAGUCAUAACUGCCAUCCAUUUAUUUAGCACAGUUUGGUAGGAGUAAACAGCACCUUGGUAUAGCCGAUUCCUUUGCUCCUUUCCCCCCAGGUCAGUGGAGCCAAGCAGCAGCAUUGAUGCCUUCUUAUUGUCCACAAACCCUAGAGGGAUUAAGCUGGGAGUCAGGCUUUGGUAUCUAAAAUGAGCAAGACAGAGGAUUAUUGGACUUCCUGGCUCUAGUCCUGGCGCGUGGAAGCAUCACAGAGACAUUCCAUUGGAGAGGUACAAGGUAGUCUGUGAAGUGAUGACCCACCUUCUUUCAUUCCUGAGUAAAGAGCUGCAGUUGAGCCAGUCACAGCUUGUGCUGAAGGCACUGGGUGGCUUUGCCUGAGGAUUGCUUUAUCAGACUGAUUGACUUCCUUUGGAGCAAUGCAGUAGAUGAAAUGUGGGGAUGUGCUGUGCAAAGCAGCCAUCAGUCAGUUCAGCAACUCCUGGAAUGAGACAAAGGAAUGGAGUGAGAGAACUAACAGAAGUUAUGAAGGCUGGAGAGAGAAAAUCUUCUGGUUUAUAAAGUCAUUUGUGUUUCACAGCUGGAAACAAGCAAACAAACCAAAAACCCCACAUAAAACAAGGUAGGAAGCAAGCCCGGCCAUACGUAAUCCUAGGGAACAAGGUUACCUGCAUGGAGGCAACCUUGGACAUGGUGUGAAGCUGCACCAAUUUUAGUUCUGCAUUGGUAAGAUGAGGGUGACAGCAUUGGCCAUCUGUGGGCAGGGUUGAAGAUAAACUGGGAAGACAGAGCUGCUGCUGGAAUACAAAGGCAUGGAUGAUUGCUUAUCCUAUAGAAGCUGGAAGCAGUCAUAAAGGGGACCCUCUUCCCUGCCUCUUGCUGCCACCAGCUAAAAUCAAUAGUAUUGCACAGAAUAUGUGAGAGAUGCUCUUGCAGAGGACUCACACUGAAGUGUGUUAUACUGUAGCCUCCAACAUAAAUCUGUCUUAACUGACUUAAGUCAGCAAUUCAGUGCUGUCUGUAUAAACUGUUGACUGAAUAAAAUAUGCAUCAUUUUACCUGCA